AGUGAACGCUGGCGGUAGGCCUAACACAUGCAAGUCGAACGGCAGCACAGUAAGAGCUUGCUCUUACGGGUGGCGAGUGGCGGACGGGUGAGGAAUACAUCGGAAUCUACUUUAUCGUGGGGGAUAAAGUAGGGAAACUUACGCUAAUACCGCAUACGACCUACGGGUGAAAGCAGGGGAUCUUCGGACUUUGCGCGAUUGAAUGAGCCGCUGUCGGAUUAGCUAGUUGGCGGGGUAAAGGCCCACCAAGGCGACGAUCCGUAGCUGGUCUGAGAGGAUGACCAGCCACACUGGAACUGAGACGCAGUCCAGACUCCUACGGGAGGCAGCAGUGGGGAAUAUUGGACAAUGGGCGCAAGCCUGAUCCAGCCAUACCGCGUGGGUGAAGAAGGCCUUCGGGUUGUAAAGCCCUUUUGUUGGGAAAGAAAAGCAGCAGGUUAAUACCCCGCUGUUCUGACGGUACCCGAAGAAUAAGCACCGGCUAACUUCGUG
rnacentral:rRNA from 1 species